rnacentral:tRNA from 1 species
GCCGUGAUCGUCUAGUGGAUAGGACAUUGCGUUGUGGACGCAAUAACCCAGGUUCGAAUCCUGGUCUCGGCA